rnacentral:rRNA from 1 species
CCCUUAGAUGUUCUGGGCCGCACGCGUGCUACACUGAGUGGAUCAGCGGGUCAGGUUGCGCGAAAGUGUUUCCUAAUCUUGAAAUCCGCUCGUGAUGGGGAUUGACGGUUGCAAUUUUCCGUCAUGAACGAGGAAUACCUUGUAAGCGCGGGUCAUCAUCCCGCGCUGAAUACGUCCCUGCCCUUUGUACACACCGCCCGUCGCACCUACCGAUUGAAUGGUCCGGUGAAGCCUCGGGAUUGUGGCCAGUUCACUUUAUUGGGAGUUGGCUGCGAGAACUUGUCUAAACCUUAUCAUUUAGAGGAAGGUGAAGUCGUAACA